UAGCCAUGAUGUGGACAGGAAUUUGUGACAUCCUUGAAUCGCUCCCAACAUUGGAAGGUCUCAUCUUCUUUUUGCACAAAAUUCAUGAUUACUUUCCUUAAGGUA